rnacentral:rRNA from 1 species
UGGGGAAUUUUGGACAAUGGGCGAAAGCCUGAUCCAGCAAUGCCGCGUGUGUGAAGAAGGCCUUCGGGUUGUAAAGCACUUUUGUCCGGAAAGAAAUCCUUGGCUCUAAUACAGUCGGGGGAUGACGGUACCGGAAGAAUAAGCACCGGCUAACUACGUGCCAGCAGCCGCGGUAAUACGUAGGGUGCAAGCGUUAAUCGGAAUUACUGGGCGUAAAGCGUGCGCAGGCGGUUUGCUAAGACCGAUGUGAAAUCCCCGGGCUCAACCUGGGAACUGCAUUGGUGACUGGCAGGCUAGAGUAUGGCAGAGGGGGGUAGAAUUCCACGUGUAGCAGUGAAAUGCGUAGAGAUGUGGAGGAAUACCGAUGGCGAAGGCAGCCCCCUGGGCCAAUACUGACGCUCAUGCACGAAAGCGUGGGGAGCAAACAGGAUUAGAUACCCUGGUAGUCCAGCGCCCUAAACGAUGUCAACUAGUUGUUGGGGAUUCAUUUCCUUAGUAACGUAGCUAACGCGUGAAGUUGACCGCCUGGGGAGUACGGUCGCAAGAUUAAAACUCAAAGGAAUUGACGGGGUCAUAGCUG